GUUGCAGGGUAUAGACCCGAAACCCGGUGAUCUAGCCAUGGGCAGGUUGAAGGUUGGGUAACACUAACUGGAGGACCGAACCGACUAAUGUUGAAAAAUUAGCGGAUGACCUGUGGCUGGGGGUGAAAGGCCAAUCAAACCGGGAGAUAGCUGGUUCUCCCCGAAAGCUAUUUAGGUAGCGCCUCGUGAAUUCAUCUCCGGGGGUAGAGCACUGUUUCGGCUAGGGGGCCAUCCCGGCUUACCAACCCGAUGCAAACUGCGAAUACCGGAGAAUGUUAUCACGGGAGACACACGGCGGGUGCUAACGUCCGUCGUGAAGAGGGAAACAACCCAGACCGCCAGCUAAGGUCCCAAAGUCAUGGUUAAGUGGGAAACGAUGUGGGAAGGCCCAGACAGCCAGGAUGUUGGCUUAGAAGCAGCCAUCAUUUAAAGAAAGCGUAAUAGCUCACUGGUCGAGUCGGCCUGCGCGGAAGAUGUAACGGGGCUAAACCAUGCACCGAAGCUGCGGCAGCGACACUGUGUGUUGUUGGGUAGGGGAGCGUUCUGUAAGCCUGUGAAGGUGUGUCGUGAGGCAUGCUGGAGGUAUCAGAAGUGCGAAUGCUGACAUAAGUAACGAUAAAGCGGGUGAAAAGCCCGCUCGCCGGAAGACCAAGGGUUCCUGUCCAACGUUAAUCGGGGCAGGGUGAGUCGACCCCUAAGGCGAGGCCGAAAGGCGUAGUCGAUGGGAAACGGGUUAAUAUUCCCGUACUUGGUGUUACUGCGAAGGGGGGACGGAGAAGGCUAUGUUGGCCGGGCGACGGUUGUCCCGGUUUAAGCGUGUAGGUGUGUGUUCCAGGUAAAUCCGGUUCACUUUAACACUGAGGCGUGACGACGAGGCACUACGGUGCUGAAGCAACAAAUGCCCUGCUUCCAGGAAAAGCCUCUAAGCAUCAGGUAACAUCAAAUCGUACCCCAAACCGACACAGGUGGUCAGGUAGAGAAUACCAAGGCGCUUGAGAGAACUCGGGUGAAGGAACUAGGCAAAAUGGUGCCGUAACUUCGGGAGAAGGCACGCUGACACGUAGGUGAAGUGAUUUACUCAUGGAGCUGAAGUCAGUCGAAGAUACCAGCUGGCUGCAACUGUUUAUUAAAAACACAGCACUGUGCAAACACGAAAGUGGACGUAUACGGUGUGACGCCUGCCCGGUGCCGGAAGGUUAAUUGAUGGGGUCAGCGCAAGCGAAGCUCCUGAUCGAAGCCCCGGUAAACGGCGGCCGUAACUAUAACGGUCCUAAGGUAGCGAAAUUCCUUGUCGGGUAAGUUCCGACCUGCACGAAUGGCGUAAUGAUGGCCAGGCUGUCUCCACCCGAGACUCAGUGAAAUUGAACUCGCUGUGAAGAUGCAGUGUACCCGCGGCAAGACGGAAAGACCCCGUGAACCUUUACUAUAGCUUGACACUGAACAUUGAGCCUUGAUGUGUAGGAUAGGUGGGAGGCUUUGAAGUGUGGACGCCAGUCUGCAUGGAGCCGACCUUGAAAUACCACCCUUUAAUGUUUGAUGUUCUAACGUGGACCCGUUACCCGGGUUGCGGACAGUGUCUGGUGGGUAGUUUGACUGGGGCGGUCUCCUCCUAAAGAGUAACGGAGGAGCACGAAGGUUGGCUAAUCCUGGUCGGACAUCAGGAGGUUAGUGCAAUGGCAUAAGCCAGCUUGACUGCGAGCGUGACGGCGCGAGCAGGUGCGAAAGCAGGUCAUAGUGAUCCGGUGGUUCUGAAUGGAAGGGCCAUCGCUCAACGGAUAAAAGGUACUCCGGGGAUAACAGGCUGAUACCGCCCAAGAGUUCAUAUCGACGGCGGUGUUUGGCACCUCGAUGUCGGCUCAUCACAUCCUGGGGCUGAAGUAGGUCCCAAGGGUAUGGCUGUUCGCCAUUUAAAGUGGUACGCGAGCUGGGUUUAGAACGUCGUGAGACAGUUCGGUCCCUAUCUGCCGUGGGCGCUGGAGAACUGAGGGGGGCUGCUCCUAGUACGAGAGGACCGGAGUGGACGCAUCACUGGUGUUCGGGUUGUCAUGCCAAUGGCACUGCCCGGUAGCUAAAUGCGGAAGAGAUAAGUGCUGAAAGCAUCUAAGCACGAAACUUGCCCCGAGAUGAGUUCUCCCUGAGACUUAAAGUCUCCUGAAGGAACGUUGAAGACGACGACGUUGAUAGGCCGGGUGUGUAAGCGCAGCGAUGCGUUGAGCUA
rnacentral:rRNA from 1 species